UUUUUCAAUUCGCCCCCAAUUCCUGAUGACUAUGAUGAUAUUGAUGAAGAAGCAGCGGCAAAGCUUCAGAAUCUGAUGGAGCAAGAUUAUGAGAUUGGAUUGACCAUUCGAGACAAAAUUAUUCCUCAUGCUGUAUCAUGGUUUACUGGAGAGGCAGCUCAAGGGGAUGAAUUUGAUGAUAUAAAUGAUGAUGGG